UGUUUGAUUAAAGGUGAACCCUCAUAGCUUAUGGUAUUCAAAGGUUAAAUCAUCACAAAUCUUCGAUUCUACAAGCUCCGGAAGGAGGUUCGGCGCGUGGAUCUCGCGUGAAGCCGAGGAUUCGGUGGACGCUUCGAGGAAUUGAGGCGUUGACGCUGCGAGGAGUUGCAGCAAGGUCGAUUGGUGGAUUCCUAUCGAUCGAGGACCGGCGAAGAUCA
rnacentral:lncRNA from 1 species